AGUAAAUAGAUACCCGGUAGUCCACGCCGUAAACGAUGAGUACUAGGUGUAGGAGGUAUCGACUCCUUCUGUGCCGCAGUUAAACACAAUAAGUACUCCGCCUGGGAAGUACGGUCGCAAGAUUAAAACUCAAAGGAAUUGACGGGGGCCCGCACAAGCAGCGGAGCAUGUGGUUUAAAUUCGAAGCAACGCGAAGAACCUUACCUAGACUUGACAUCCCCUGAAUAACGUAGAGAUACGCGAAGCCCUUCGGGGCAGGGAGACAGGUGGUGCAUGGUUGUCGUCAGCUCGUGUCGUGAGAUGUUGGGUUAAGUCCCGCAACGAGCGCAACCCUUAUCAUUAGUUGCUACCAUUUAGUUGAGCACUCUAGUGAGACUGCCCGGGUUAACCGGGAGGAAGGCGGGGAUGACGUCAAAUCAUCAUGCCCCUUAUGUCUAGGGCUACACACGUGCUACAAUGGUGAGAACAACGAGAUGCAGUACCGCGAGGUGGAGCAAAACUUCAAAACUCAUCUCAGUUCGGAUUGUAGGCUGAAACUCGCC
rnacentral:rRNA from 1 species